CGAACGCUGGCGGCGUGCUUAACACAUGCUAGUCGAACGGAAAGGCCCUGCUUUUGUGGGGUGCUCGAGUGGCGAACGGGUGAGUAACACGUGAGUAACCUGCCCUUGACUUUGGGAUAACUUCAGGAAACUGGGGCUAAUACCGGAUAGGAGCUCCUGCUGCAUGGUGGGGGUUGGAAAGUUUCGGCGGUUGGGGAUGGACUCGCGGCUUAUCAGCUUGUUGGUGGGGUAGUGGCUUACCAAGGCUUUGACGGGUAGCCGGCCUGAGAGGGUGACCGGCCACAUUGGGACUGAGAUACGGCCCAGACUCCUACGGGAGGCAGCAGUGGGGAAUAUUGCACAAUGGGCGGAAGCCUGAUGCAGCAACGCCGCGUGCGGGAUGACGGCCUUCGGGUUGUAAACCGCUUUCGCCUGUGACGAAGCGUGAGUGACGGUAAUGGGUAAAGAAGCACCGGCUAACUACGUG
rnacentral:rRNA from 1 species